ACCGACCAAUUCAGUUCCAUUAAGUAAAUAACUUUAAGAAACUUCAGAGCUCCUGUCCGUUCAGUUGAAUUACAAAGGUUCUCUAUAUCUUAUAAAACUAUACAUUUGACUUCUAAUUGAAAAUGAUAUCGGUUUCGACAGCAAGUCACCUCAAUCAUCAUUCUAAUGAACUUCCAAUAUUUCUAUAUUCAAUAUUAUUUUUAUCCGUGUUCCGUAUAUUCGUAUCAUAAAAUCUCUAACAAUUUCAGAAUUUUUUUUUUGUUAGGAAAGAACGAACCGAGAGGGAAAAAAAACUAUCAGGUUAUAUCAAAACAAAGCAAUUUUAUCCCCUCAUUUUAUUCGUCUAAUAUAGGUUUAGCACAUUUACGCAUUUCCGUAUAUCCUGAUUUUGUUUGCAUAUGCUGAUAAUCCACCGGAAACAUUUGCUCUCCUGUUUCACUAGACUGAGCAAAAAUCACACCAAGAUCAUUUCGAGCUGUUGUUAAAAAGUACGAAGAGCCGUCUCCAAGUGAAAUUACAAGUGCUCUGACAAUAUCACCCGGUCGGAAUGAAUUUUGCACUUUGACUUUAUUUUUCUCAGUAGCUCUAAUAUCCUGCACAUGUAUUACCCCUUGAAAUUCAUCUUUGGUGCAGACAUCGUCAACGACUGAGAUGUUUACAGUUGCUUGACGAGCAUUGAUCCUGCUGACGCGAGCUAAAACAAUAGAUCCGACAUUAGGUAAAACGGCUGUCUCUUCAACUUUUCUUGGGUACGUUACAGAAUUUUUCUCUGGAUCAAAGAUGCCAGUUCGUGUGGAAAUAAUAUAAUCUCCUCUCUUUACCGUUCCUUCACCGUUAGGAGCCCCUCUCGCGACCACCUGUCCAGGGAGAACCAAAUUCAUAUUUAACGGCUUUAAUAAACUAAAAAUAAAGGAAUCAAGUCCGUUUUGUAUGGCUGUAAAAAAUUAAUUGAAAAAAAGUUGCUGUAAGCACAAAGGUCGUUGUAAACUGUAGGUUACAAUGUAACCUAAAGUCAC